rnacentral:rRNA from 1 species
UGGGGAAUUUUGGACAAUGGGCGCAAGCCUGAUCCAGCCAUUCCGCGUGCAGGACGAAGGCCUUCGGGUUGUAAACUGCUUUUGUACGGAACGAAAAGCCCUUCUCUAAUACAGAGGGGUCAUGACGGUACCUGAAGAAUAAGCACCGGCUAACUACGUGCCAGCAGCCGCGGUAAUACGUAGGGUGCGAGCGUUAAUCGGAAUUACUGGGCGUAAAGCGUGCGCAGGCGGUUUAGUAAGACAGGCGUGAAAUCACCGGGCUCAACCUGGGAACUGCGCUUGUGACUGCUAAGCUAGAGUACGGCAGAGGGGGGUGGAAUUCCACGUGUAGCAGUGAAAUGCGUAGAUAUGCGGAGGAACACCGAUGGCGAAGGCAAUCCCCUGGGCCUGCACUGACGCUCAUGCACGAAAGCGUGGGGAGCAAACA